ACUAUUAAAAUUAACACACCGCGAGUUCUCGUAAUUGAGAGGUAUACUUUUAACUUUACAAGUUUCGUGUAUAGCUCUGUCGGGUGUUCGUAAUGUAGGCGUAAAAUUUUGGGCCACCGGACACGAAUUCUUCGAUGUAACUAUCACGACCGUAGCUCUCAAGUUGAUCGGUAAUAUUGCCUAGAAAAUUACCAGUGCGCGGUUCAUAUUUAUUUGGUUCACCAGUGCUCACAUAAAUGCAUGAAUCGGUAUCGUAAUAUAAUACACGACGAUCUAAAUGCUCCAGAUAUUUAUACAAUUUUAGUCGCGCCUGUGCAGUCGUGUAUGCGGCUAUCACGACAUUGGUUAUUGGUGAGGAUACGACAGCCUCAUGUCGCAAUCGCCACGAAACAUACAUUACCUCGUCGUUUACAGGUGAUUUAUCAGUUAUCUCGUGCUCGGGACUUGUUAGUGUUAGAGGGACAUGUUUGUCGUACUCGGUGAUUUCCGUCGCUAUUCGGAAGAAUCCGGCAGAUAAGAAGACAUGCGUGCGCACUUUGCGUUUAUUAUAUACUCUCGCAGUCGUAGAUCUUGGUCGAUUAAGAUAAGACACUCUUACUAAAUAAAAGUUAUUAUUAACAGAAAAUAUUUUUGUUGAUCCUUGUAACAGGUUAUGGGCCUAGGACCCUUUACCUGCAACGUAAAUUGUCUGAAAAAGUAUCGAUCGAAAAAAUUCCGCGAAGAAAUAUCAGGAAUUUUUGGUACACGUGGUAUCGCCAUUCUUGUACGAUGAACUUUGUUUCUGAACGUGUGCUGGACUGUCACACGGUGAAUAUGGCGGAAGAGAUUUCUACAAAACAUGUAACAAAACUGGAUGGAAAGAACUUUCAAACCUGAAAGUUCCAAAUCCAGGUAUUUGUUAUAUUUGGUAUUCACGAUAUAGCAAUAAGUCGGACACCAAUGCCAGUGGGUGCGGCCUCAGCAGCGGCAAAGAUAUGGAUUAAAGAUAAUGCAAAAGGAAUGUUCCUCAUCUCGUCAUCGGUGGAAUCCGCUUAGCUCGAGUGUCUUCUGACCUGCACAACAGCCGCAGAAAUGUGAACGAAACUAAGCUCUAUUCAUAAAAAGUCGGAAACAAAUAAAUUAAUUUUAACGCAGAGAUUUCAUGAGUAUCGGAUGGAGACCAGUGACUUGGUCGUGCAACACGUGGCCAAAGUGCAAAAUAUGGUCACACAAUUACGUGAUGUGGGUGAAAUUAUUCGGAUGUCGCCGUGAUGGCGAAGAUUCUGGCAAGUUUGCCCCCGAAAUACAACGUUCUCAAGACUGCAUGGGACAGCGUGGAGCUAAGAAACCAGACGAUCAUCAACUUGCAAGAAAGGCUUAUCAAGAAAGAGAGUCGGCUAACGGCUGAAGAUAAGGCCACCAAUGCCUUGGCUACCAUGUCUCUCGAAAGGAAACAAAAAUCACAAAGAUAUAUAAAAAACUGCCUAAACGAUAACUAGUCAACUCAGAAAAAUAAAACUGAUGUGGAAUGCUACUAUUGCAAGAAAAAGGGAUAUUUCGCAUGAUAACAAUAAGUAUGGCGGUAACAUCGCGCAACGAGGUGGGAGAAAAUUAAACUAAAAAGCUAAUGGACAUAAAUAUGAAAAACAGCUGGAUUACCGACAGCGGGGCUUCACGUCAUAUUACCCAUCGUCGAGACUGGUUUAAUGAGUUUUACCCUAGCAGCGGAGAAUCAGUAUUGCUAGGUAACAAUGGAGUUUGCGAGGUGCUUGGCUCUGGAACAAUCUUUAUUGAUAAACUGGUCGGUGAUACGUGGUGUGAAUCGCGAAUUGAUAACGUCCUUUACGUACCGAAGUUAUGCAAAAAUUUAUUUUUGGUCGGUAUGUGCACAUCAAAAGAGUUCGAAGUACUCUUCAAAGAACAGUGUCAAUUUUACGCGAGGGUGCUGUAUUCGGCGUAUAAGGCGUGAAAUAAAAGAACGACAUUUAUCGAAUGUUUUUCCGCGUAAAAAUGAAAUAGGAAUCCGAUGAAAUCAAUGUAGCAACUAAUAACCUGAAAUUAUGGCAUGAACGUAUGGGACAUGUCAAUAAGGAUACACUGAGGCAAAUGGCAAAAAACGGAGCUGUACAAGAUGUAGUUGGACCAUUCUCAAAGGAAUCACUUGGAGGAGCAAGAUUCUUUAUAAAUUUAAAGGAUGAACGUUCAGGUUUUUGACACAUAUACGUCAUGAAACAUAAGUCAGACGUGCCUAGAUAAUGGGAGAAAAUACGUCAACAGAGCAAUGCUAAAGUAUAUGGUAUCCUGAAGAAUCUGUUUGGAGACGAUAGCAUCCCACACGCCGGAACAAAAUGGCAAGGCAGAAAGAGAUAACAUCAUAGAAAGCGCACGAACAAUGAUCCAUGCGAAGAACCAACCAUUAUCACUUUGGGCAGAAAUAGUCAGUAUAGCAGUUCAUGUUUUCAACCGGACUACUUCGAGUAUUGAUGUGAGUACUACACCUUAUGAAAUGUGGAUAGGAAAGAAACCUAAUCUUAUCUACGAGUUUUUGGAUCUGCAGCCUAC